rnacentral:rRNA from 1 species
UACGUAGGGUGCAAGCGUUGUCCGGAAUUAUUGGGCGUAAAGAGCUCGUAGGCGGCUUUACAGGUCCGUUGUGAAAACUCGAGGCUCAACCUCGAGACGCCGGUGGAAACCGUAAAGCUAGAGUCCGGAAGAGGAGAGUGGAAUUCCUGGUGUAGCGGUGAAAUGCGCAGAUAUCAGGAGGAACACCCGUGGCGAAAGCGGCUCUCUGGGACGGUACUGACGCUGAGACGCGAAAGCGUGGGGAGCAAACAGG